AAAAAUAUCAAGACACUGAGCAGAAUCAGUUUAGCAUACAAAGGGCGAAAGAAUAUGGAAAUAUGCUGCUGAUCUUCAAAAAUCAAUACAUACAUGUAGAUUAGUAUACAAGCAAAGUAGAUAUAUAUAUGAUACCAUUCCCACCGUUAGUGGAACAUAAGAUUAGAAAAUGUGAACUGCUACUGAGUGAGUGACAUUCAGAGGAAGCUGCA
rnacentral:misc_RNA from 1 species